rnacentral:ribozyme from 14 species
UGUUCUUUAGUGUUCUUUUUUCUCUCUCUCUUUUAAGUAUUUUGGUUGAAAUCUUUAAACAGAACUUUGAAAGAAAAGAAAAGAAAAGAAGAGGUAAU